GACCUGAACCCCACAUGUUCCUCUUCCUUCAUUCCCUUCCAGUUUCCUUUCCCAGGCAAAGUCAGGGAAAGUAAAGGGCAUGGACUUAGCAUUACUUAGUCAACUAGCCCUAGAGUUCUGACCCAUUGAUGCAUUGAUGGACCUACAGUUUUGUGUUUUUUUUUCCUGCCGUAACUCCCACUUUUUGGACAAAGUGCCCCACACACACACCCGCCCUGUGCCCUCACCCCAGUCCUUUUUUUCUCUCACUCUCAGCAUUUGGCUACAUGGUUCUCCUGCACCAAACGGCCCGAGAGCAGGGCAGGACAGCCAGGAGUUAGCGGGGCUGCCUCGAUUUAUUUGCUCCUCUUACAUUGAUUUCAUAUUAGUUUCCAAAGCGAUGAAUGAUCUCAAAGCUGGGUUUUGUUAGCCGAACACAAACAGGAGACAGGACUUACUUGCCCCCAGCUCCCUUUAAUGAGGUCAUUAUCAAAGCGUGAACAAGUCUAUGAAUGUUUUAUUGAAAGCGCAUCGUUAACUUGUAUCCAUCCUUUUCUCCGAGUGGCAUUGUGAUAUUGCUGUCUGUGGCACAUCUUACCCGAUAUAGCCCGAGAUUUCCCCAUUCUCUGUAACCAGGCAACCCUUUCUGAAUACCCAAAAAUUGAAAAGAACCGCUUAGUCUUCAAGAAAGUCCUCAAUAAUAGUGGAAAAGAACAAAGAUCCAGGAGACAACAAAAUGCCACAGGGGUGACUUUUCAUGAGCAAUUAUCUCUCAUUAAUCAGAAGAACAGCUGCAAUAUUAAUUUUCUCUCUUUCUUCCUCUCUUUUCACAGUCCCCAACAUUUGAAUAAUCAUAAAUUUUGAUUUUUUUUUUUUUGAAAGAGUCACAUUUUCAGGGGCUGGAGGAAAGCAGCUACCUAGGUGAAGACGAGGAAAAGCUCUCUUUUGAUUUUUUGUUGUUGUUAUUGUUUGGGCAAAGCUGCCAACAAAGCAAAAUGGGGAAAAAUAUGUACAUAUAUGAGGAAAAUGCCAGAGAAAAUGACCCUCCUCAUUCUUCUAGAUGGUGGCUGAGAAUCAGGACCCUUUCCCUGCUCCCCCUUCCAACAACUCCCCCUUCUUCUUUCCUCCCCCUGCCUGGACCAACUAGCCAGUUCUGCCCCGAGCGGGGCGGAGGGAACUGUCCCCGGCGGCGUCUGGCGUGGGAGUUUCAGCCGGGUUUCUGCCCGUUUAACUUGCAAACGUGAAGCCAAGCGUUGUCGAUCUGACCAAAGAGACACUCUUUGGGCGUAACUUGCAUUGUGGCCAUCAAAAGCCCGCCAGCUUUGGAUGAACCGAGACGUGCAUUCAGCAGAAAUGGGGCGCUCGCUCUCUUUUCAGGAGCCGGAGAGGCGAUUGUUCACAGGAUGUGUAGCCAGGGUGGAAAACGAAGGUCCCCAGAUAAGGCUGUAACCUGCAUACAGGCUUGGGGGAGUUAAAAGAAUCUCAUUAAAGUCGAGGCUGCAAUUAGCAAAUACACACUCUCAGAGAACCCAAGCUCCUCUUGAAAAGCCGAGAGUCGGAUGAAAAAGGGCUUUUGGGAGUCAGCCCCCACAUUCCCGCGCUGGCUGAGUGGCGAGGGGCUCAGCUGCCCCUUCGGGCUGCCCCAAUACUGUUACUUUGAAUGCACCGCCAGGAGAGGCCGGUCCCUGGAGAGGGCCUUGUGCUGCUCACCCAGCACCAAAAAAUGAUCUUGCCUUUCCCCAGUGUUUAUUCAGAACGGAUGGGCCUUUGAGAAACCUGAAUUCGCCUUUGUGCUCACCGCAGGCGAAAGAGUUCAAUUCGGCCCUUGGAGAAGGGGGUGGGGGAGGUUCUGGGAAAGAAGUGAGGAGUUUGGCUGAGAAUUUCAGGAACAGCCUUCCGAACAGAACAGAGUUUUGACGGUGCCCAAUCCCCUCUGCUCCAUAGCCUCUCUGCUUCCCGCUGCACCUUAAUUAAUAUUCGUCCACCCCAAAUCCAGAAGCCCAACGAGGCAUCCCUCCCCCAUCCUUAAAGCGCUCCUCUGUCAUCGGAAAAAAAUUUAUUGAGCGCCAACUCCGUGCCCAGCGUGUGCUAGACGCCGCGGGGAGCAAGCCUGAAAAGGCCGAGACUGCAUCCAAUAGAAUAUUGUUUCAUUUUAGUAACAAUGGUUUGAGGUGGGGAACAAUUAUCCGGAUAAUUGAAGCAAAUGCUGCACCUCCCUCCUUCCCUCUCCAGUUCUCUUGGCGCUUGCCAUUUUUUUUUUUUUUUUUAAACUACGUUUUGCAAAGUUGGCUUUUUUUUUUUUUUCUUUUGGUUGGAAGCUAGGAGAUGGGAGCGUAAGGGGAGGGCUGAGUUAGCGUCAGUUCUCCACUUCCCUUGGCCUAAAGCUGCUGAAAGCGCUAGGCCUAAAUAGCUGCUUAGUGAUGGGAUUUGAGACAGUUGUUUUGUUUUUUAAUGUUACCAAAAAUAGAAUGAACCUUUAUAACUUUUCAGCAAUCUGGCCUAUCUGGUGUUCCAUCUUGGUCAUCUACAAAAAUCAACCGGAGACUACAAAUGCUCUAGAGAUUUUGAUUUAAAGAUGUGGCCAGAAGGCUGAAAUUAAAAACAAACAAACCAUAGCCAACUUUCUACAUGGUUCUGAGGCAGGUGAGGGUUGAGAAAUAAUGAGCAAGUAAAACAUACCCUCAGUUAUCCGCGAUAAUAGCAACCACUUUGAGCCUCAUUCAGCAAUUAGUAGUUGUUGAAAGUGUGUCUUGAGUGCCUACUAUCCACCAGGCUUGGUGCUCCGGGAUUCCUUUGCACAAGGUGGGUCCCCGGGAGUUUCCAGUAUGUCAAAUCGACAAAUCAUCUCAGAGUUGGUGAAUUACAAAAGGCCGCGUGAAUAUGAAAGUAAAGCCCUCACAGCUUUGGGGAGUGGAUAAACCCCAAGUCUGAAGUGACCUACUGGACAAGUGGGUAUCAGCCUGGGACCAGGGGGUGGUGGGAGGAGGGGUGGGUGGUGUCGGGCUGCCGAAGGGUGCACACAAAAGGCGGGAAGAGUUUCUUUUGACUAAUUGCAGGAACGGAAAGGAGGCCAGGGAGAUUGAUAGAAGAAUCUGUUUCGACCUCUGUGAAAUAAGAAAAAUGCACGCCGCUUUCUAGUCUUUGUUAGGAACUAAGGACAGCCUAGCACCGGCCCUGGUGAUAGGUAAGAACUUGCAGCGUAACUAGUUUUUGUUAUUAUCAGCAACCUGCAGCUCCAUGGGUCCUAAGGCUUGGGAAUGAGGUAGUGAGAAGCCAGGAAGCAGAAGCCUACGCCCAAUCGCCUCCCGGCCCCAGCACGCCUUUUCCAGGCUGUGCUUUGCCUGCUAAGGCGCCUCUGCAGCCUAGUGUCUGCGCCCUAAAGGCGUCCAGCCCGGAGUUUCUCUAGCCCUCGGUUUCCAGGGAUACCAUUUAACCAUCCUGUCAACCUGGCCCUGCCAGGAGAACCUUGCCACGCCACGUCCCAUUCCUCAUCCCCAGUCAAAGGCCUGUCCUGGCAGCCCCUAUUUUGGACCACGACCGACCCAAAUUUCAAGGCUCCUUUGGCCUGAAGAAACUUCCAGCUCUGCUGACUUAUUUUACAGUAAACAGCUGCCAUUAGAGGGUAUGGCAAUCUCUGUAGCCAUCACAUCUCCAGCUCUCACUGUGUGCCUUGCCCUAAAUCAAGAGCCUUGCCCACAAGACCUCAUUUAACUUGUGAAACUGCCCUGCUGGAUAAAGCUCCAUUUUUAUGGUUGUUUCUCCAAUGAGAAUCCUGAGUCUUAUUAAAGUUCAAAGGCUUAUCCAAGAUAAUACAGCUAAAGAUGACACAGACAGGAUUCCGACUGUCUGCAGAAUGUAGAAGCCUGGAAUUGUAGGCACUCGGCAAUACUAUUUCCUAAUAUCUAGCAGUUAUUGAGCACCUACUAUAUGCCCAGCUAUGAGUUAAGCCUUUAAUGCAUUAUUUCAUUUUUCAUGACCCUGUGAGGUAGGCAUUUUUAUUAUUUCUCAUUUGUUUAUUGUCCACUCCUGGGUUAAUGUUACAAUGGCUAGUCUAAUGUGGCUUAUGUGACAGAAGGGGCACAGUCUGGAAUUGGGAUGAGAGGGAAUGUGAUUAUUUUUAUUCACUUUCUCCCAGAACAUAGAAAGUGCUGAAAGACAUUUGAACAAGCAAAAGCAACAUCUUACUCAUUUACUUCAAAGGCCUUCAUCAUAGUCAAUACAAAUGUCUGCAGGCUUAUUUCAGUCCUGGUUGAUUACCUCCCCUCGUUGAUUACUUCCCCUGCAAGAAGGGUCUGUUCAUUCGCUAGUGAUAUAAAACGUUCAGUAUAUAUUAGAAGUGGAAUAAAUAUUUGUUGAGCAAUUAAUCCCUCAUUUUACAGAUAUGAAAAAUGAGGUUCAGAGAGGCUAUGCAACUUGUCCAAGACCACACAGCUCAGAAAUGGCAGAAGGAUUUAAACUGAGGACUUUCUAAGACCCUCCCCCUUUUCACCUUAGCCCACAACUUCUCGCGCUGUGUCCUCGGGGUGACAGGGACGGGAGCCUGGGAACCAAUCUGCGCGGCCAGGGUCUGUCCGAAGUCCGAGCUCAGUCCCUCCGCUCUCCAGGUCUGGGCGAAGCCGAGGGAGGCAGAGUGUGUACAAGGCCCUCAAGGCAGCUCCCCAGUUUGGGGUAAAUAGGCUCUGAGACGGUGCGGGUGCGUCCGCUCCUCCCCAGCUCUCCGGCUGCCACCACGGGAGAACCACAACCUACUCUCCGGUGUCUGUCUCCCCCUCUCCCUGGCUAACUUAUUUCUCUGUGAAAAACGAAGCGAUUCUAAGAGAUUACAUUGAACCCACUGCCUGAAAACACUUCCGUGAGCAACAGCCCCCAAACUCCAAGCACACUAGCUUCCAAGCUCCACACAACAGCCUCGCCUCCUAGCUGGUGCAAUUGCGCAUGCGCGAGCGGCUGAGCUAGCCCGGAGUGCGAUUCCGUGUUUGCGCACGCGCGAGUGAGGCGUGGGUGAGAAGGUGACGGGGUGAGCGUGCAUGAGCGUGAGAAUGGGUGUGUGCGGGAGGGUGUGUGUCAAGUGAAUGUGCAUGUCAGCAAGUGUGUGAAGAGCUGUGGAGUGUGAAUAUGAGCAGCGUGGGUGUAAGUGUAAAAGUGAAGAGUGUAGGUGUUUUAGGAGCUUGGGUGGAGAGGUUGUAAGCCUAAGUGUGCCUGUGAAUAUAGGAGUGUGUGGCUAUAAGAAUGUGAGGGUUAGACUGAGGGUGUGAGAAUGUAUGUGCUGGCGAGGGUGUAUGAGUGGGCAUGUGAGUGUGAGAAAAGUGUAGGGUCCCAUGAGUAUGUGCCAGGGUGUGUGCGUUCGUGGAAGCACGUGUGUGAGCGCUCCAGAGUAUAUGUGAAGAGUAGGAGUGGUGAGUGUUUGAGUUUGUGGAUGUGGAAGAGAAUGUUUGGAGGGUGGGGGGCGGGACGCGCGGCUCAUUCUACCUGCCUCUCGACUGCUCACUCCCUCCCACCUUUUGGGCAGCUCCACAGCCUGGGCAUCAUCUCUCACUGCCAGGCCCUCUUGGAAACUGCCCAGCCAGAGGAGGAGGGGGGCGGGGACGGGAACCUCAUUUUGAAGCCCGGGCGUGCUAAGUGGGAGGGUCUCUGGGAGCACUGCCUCCUGGGGAUCCCCUCUUUUCUUCACUCCCUUCUGGAUCAUCUCUCCAUCCAUUUACUCAAUGAGCCUUUAUGGAGUGCCUGCAGUGUGACAGGCUCUGCCUUAGGUGCUGGGCAAACCAGGAGAACAAGAUAGCCUGUCUCACUCAAAGUGGAGUUUCCACAGGGCUUUCUGUUUGUGUGUAACUGCUCUGCCAAAUGCUGAUGAUACAAAUAUAAAUUUUGGUUUCUGCCCUCAAGCAGAGGGGUAUGGAGGGCUUAAUAAGACAGGAAAUAUGUUUCCUGAUUAGCCAUGUACCUCCCUGGAACAAGAUACUGUAUAAACACCUGCAGGACAUAAUUUUUUUUUUUUUUAAGAAGGCUGUUUCAUUAAGUUUCUUCUUUUGAAGUUCUAACUAGGAUCACAAAAUAAUUUUAUUUUCAACCGAAAAGGACAUGUUCAAAGAUUGAAUUUCCUUAUUGAGAUCUUUUUUUUUUAAGAACAAAUAAAUCAAAGAAAGCUUGGGAGUUCCUGUUGGGUCUCAGCAGUAACAAACCUGACUAGUAUCCAUGAGGAUGUGGGUUCGAUCCCUGGCCUCUGUCAGUGGGUUAAGGAUCUGGCAUUGCCGUGAGCUGUGGCAUAGGUUGCAGAUGCAGCUUGUAUCUGGCGUAGGUGUGGCUGUGGUGCAGGCCAGCUGCAGCUCUGAUUGGACCCCUAGCCUGGGAACUUCCAUGUAACAAAGGUGUGGCCCUAAAAAGACAAAAAAAGAAAGGAAGGAGGGAAAGGAAGGAAGCAAGGACGAAAUAAAUCUUGAAAAGUGUGAUAGCUGGUUGCUGCAUCUAUGUUUUGUUUUGCUUUUCUCUCUUUCUGGCUGUGCCUGUGGCACGUGGACAGUUCCAGGCCAGGGACCGAACCUGCACCACAGCCGUGACUGGAGCCGCUGCAGUGACAAUGCCAAAUACUUAAACUGCUGCAAACUGCUGCAUCACAAGGGAACUCCCACAUCUAGGUUCUUGCAUUUAGCAGAUGAAAGGGAAAUUUGCCAUUACCGAGCUGACCCUUCUCACCUUACAAGAGAAACUGCCAUCCAGAGAAAUGAAGUAGUGUGAAUGGUCAGCCCCUCUAGCAGUCACCAAGUAGACCAUCUUACUUUUGUUCCUCUUUCCAGUUUUACAUUUGCAGGAAGACGCCCUGCAACUCCGAGGAAAAAAAGGGGGAGGACUUCCAGCUUCCUUCCACAAAAGCACGUCUCUAUUGCUUGCACCUCUAUUUUCUGGAGGGUCAGAUCCAAACUCUUGGACUCUUUCUUGACUCUGUUCUUUCUCUCUGUACACCUAAUCCGUUGGGAAAUUUCAAGGGCUCUACCUUUCAAGGUAUCCAGGACCUGACCGCUCUCAACCUUCCCCUCCACUGGUCUAUAUCACACUCUAGCCUCCUGACCAGGGUUUGCCUCUACAGUCUGUUCUCAACCCAGCAACCAGAUGAGCCUCUAAAAAUAGUAGUCAAAUCAGGUCAGAGAAAGAACCAAAGAUGUUACAAUGGCCAAGAGCCCCCCAUCUAACCCUGUCUUUUUCUUUGAUCUGCUAUUGGUCUCCUUGCUUCCUCCACUUUCCUUGCUUGUCUGGCCAUUUCUUGCCCUGGCCUUCACCUCUGCUGAGAGUUCUUCCCCGCAAGCUCACUUCCUCCCCUUCCAGUCUUCCCUCUAAUGUCAUUUCUCACUAUUUAAAAAAUACCAGGGGAGUUCCCAUAAUGGCACAAGGGAAAUGAAUCCAACUAGGAACCAUGAGGUUGAGGGUUCGAUCCCCAGCCUUGAUCAGUGGGUUAAGGAUCCAGUGUUGCCAUGAGCAGUGGUGUUGGUCCAGACACAGCUCGGAUCUGGUGUUGCUGUGGCUGUGGUGUAGGCUGGCAGCUACAGCUCUGAUUCCACCUCUAGCCUGGGAACCUCCAUAUGAUGCAGGUGCACUC
rnacentral:lncRNA from 1 species